GACAGAGGGUGCAAACGUUGUUCGGAAUUACUGGGCGUAAAGCGCGUGUAGGCGGCUAAGUGUGUCGGGCGUGAAAUCCCACGGCUCAACCGUGGAAGUGCACCCGAAACUACGUAGCUAGAGUCCUGGAGAGGAAGGUGGAAUGCUUGGUGUAGAGGUGAAAUUCGUAGAUAUCAAGCGGAACACCGGUGGCGAAGGCGGCCUUCUGGACAGUGACUGACGCUGAGACGCGAAAGCGUGGGGAGCGAACAGG
rnacentral:rRNA from 1 species